rfam:Turnip yellow mosaic virus variant F41, virion protein (VP) gene, complete cds.
UUAGCUCGCCAGUUAGCGAGGUCUGUCCCCACACGACAGAUAAUCGGGUGCAACUCCCGCCCCUUUUCCGAGGGUCAUCGGAACCA